CAGUCGCCGCGGUAAUACGUAGGUGGCAAGCGUUGUCCGGAAUUAUUGGGCGUAAAGCGCGCGCAGGCGGUUUCUUAAGUCUGAUGUGAAAGCCCCCGGCUCAACCGGGGAGGGUCAUUGGAAGCUGGGAAACUUGAGUGCAGAAGAGGAGAGUGGAAUUCCACGUGUAGCGGUGAAAUGCGUAGAGAUGUGGAGGGACACCAGUGGCGAAGGCGACUCUCUGGUCUGUAACUGACGCUGAGGAGCGAAAGCGUGGGGAGCGAACAGGAUUAGAUACCCCCGUAGUCCCUGUCUCUUAUAC
rnacentral:rRNA from 1 species